GGGUCAGUAGGUUGGUCGUGCCACCGGUACGUACUGGUCUCACUGAUUCCUCCUUCCUGAAGAACCGUAAUGCCAUUAAUUUGGUGUUGCGGGGAAACAGGACUGUUACUUUGAACAAAUUAGAGUGUUUAAAGCAAGCUAACGCUUGAAUACAUUAGCAUGGAAUAAUGAAAUAGGGCGAUCGAUCCUAUUUUGUUGGUUUCUAGGAUUGACGUA
rnacentral:rRNA from 1 species